rnacentral:misc_RNA from 1 species
UCCUGGUUUCCCAGGCAGUCCCAUCAGAGUGCCUUCUUACGAAGUAGCAACUGAUAGCAGGGGUUGCGCUCGUUAUAGGACUUAACCCAACAUCUCACGACACGAGCUGACGACAGCCAUGCAGCACCUGUGAAUAUGUCCAAGGUUUCCCUUGGAAAGCUCCGUUUCUGGAGCGGUCAUAAACAUGUCAAACCUAGGUAAGGUUCCUCGCGUAGUGUCGAAUUAAACCACAUGUUCCACCGCUUGUGCGGACCCCCGUCAAUUCCUUUGAGUUUUAAUCUUGCGACCGUAGUCCCCAGGCGGAUCACUUAUCGCGUUAGCUACGACACUAAUUCUGCAGAGCAGAACUAACGUCUAGUGAUCAUCGUUUACAGCGUGGACUAC